AAAUAGAUCUAUUUCACAAAACUGCAAUGGAAACGCUUUUUUUGCAUCACGAGUCACUUGAUGAACAGCAGGAUGUUACCACUGGCAGAAACCACAAA